rnacentral:misc_RNA from 1 species
AGUUUUAUUACCUGUUUAUAAUUAUCCUAAGUCAUGUUAUUGUCUAAUGUCUUAAUGGUUAUCUUAAUUAAAGGACCGAAAUAAUAUCGAAUAAAACAAAUAUAUCUGUAUAAAUAAAACAAACUUUAUUCAUUAAUGAUACAUAGCCGCCAAAAAGUGGCUUUACAACAAUAGGCAUUUACUGUUUUGUUCAGGGCUUAAACGAAAGUUAAAGUAAUCCGAAGCCUUUGGAGUAACUAAUCGCUUUCAUCAGUCUAUCUUGUAGUUUCUCUUUGCUGUCGUAUUCGGGAAGCAGCAAGACAUUAAAGCAAGUGUGAGCAGCCGGUAACCGGUCGCAGUCCGGUCCAUUUCUGGCUAUAACUAGCUUUAAGUGGCUCAAGCCACCCACCGGCACUCUGUCAGAACCGGUCGUAAAUUGUAGUAACUUUCGCUUAUCCUCUAGUGAUAAGCCGUGAACAAUGCUCCAAAAGUCUUUUACAGUCUGUGAUUCGGCGGUGAAGCCUCCGUCAUAUUCUGUAGAUUUUUCUAGUUCGUUGAAAUCGAAGUUCUGCACUUGCUUCCGCAAACAAGCAUCUCGACCUCCUCGGGGCGGAAUAGUGCACCGAGCUGACUCUCAUCUGUAACCAUCGCGAAACCACGCCGGAAAGCCUUGAACUGAGUCUCUACCGACGAGUUUAGUAGGAAAUCUGCGUACAGGUCCACGAAUUCCU